rnacentral:ncRNA from 2 species
UUAAUAAUUUGGCAAACUUAUUAAAAGAUAAGGACGCAAAGCUAUGGGUCUAAGGAGAUCGUAUAUUUCUAUGACUGCCAGGUUGCUCAC